UACGGGGGGGACAAGUGUUCUUCAAUCAGACUGGGCGUACAGCGUCUGUAGGUGGAGAGGAGUGUGUUUAAAGUGAAAAAUUACCUAAGUAAGGGUAAAAAGUCUUUAAAGACUUCUUUUCUAGAGUUUUGUAAAGGUUUGCUUUAUUACUCCAAGAGUGUUAAAAUGCUUAGACUGGAGUAGGAGGGCAUGUGGCGAAGGCGGCAAACUAGGCAAAACUGACACUCAAGGACUAAAGCGUGGGGAGCGAUCGGG
rnacentral:rRNA from 1 species